rnacentral:rRNA from 1 species
GCUUCUCUUGAGAGCGGCGGACGGGUGAGUAAUGCCUAGGAAUCUGCCUGGUAGUGGGGGAUAACGUUCGGAAACGGACGCUAAUACCGCAUACGUCCUACGGGAGAAAGCAGGGGACCUUCGGGCCUUGCGCUAUCAGAUGAGCCUAGGUCGGAUUAGCUAGUUGGUGAGGUAAUGGCUCACCAAGGCGACGAUCCGUAACUGGUCUGAGAGGAUGAUCAGUCACACUGGAACUGAGACACGGUCCAGACUCCUACGGGAGGCAGCAGUGGGGAAUAUUGGACAAUGGGCGAAAGCCUGAUCCAGCCAUGCCGCGUGUGUGAAGAAGGUCUUCGGAUUGUAAAGCACUUUAAGUUGGGAGGAAGGGCAGUUACCUAAUACGUGAUUGUUUUGACGUUACCGACAGAAUAAGCACCGGCUAACUCUGUGCCAGCAGCCGCGGUAAUACAGAGGGUGCAAGCGUUAAUCGGAAUUACUGGGCGUAAAGCGCGCGUAGGUGGUUUGUUAAGUUGGAUGUGAAAUCCCCGGGCUCAACCUGGGAACUGCAUUCAAAACUGACUGACUAGAGUGUGGUAGAGG